GGAACUCGCGGUGGGGCUGCUGGGUCUUCCAGGAGCGCGCAGGAGCGGACGCUGCCUAUGGGUGGCCGGGCGGGAUGUAACCGGCUGCUGAGCUGGCAGUUCUGUGUCGCUAGGCUUCUGCCCGGCCGCCGCCGCACAUAAGCUGCGAGGAGGAGCUUUACGACUGCCCGGUCUUCGGGGCCGGGCGCAGCAAGGGCCAGACUCUGCGCUAGCAGGCGCUGCGCGCCAACCGGCCAGCACCUGUCGCAGAAGGUGCAACCGAUCGCACUGUCGCGCAGAAGCUCCUCAAUGGCCAGCGCCAGCUGCAGCCCCGGCCGCCCACUCGCCUCAAUCUGAGCCUGGCUGGCAGCCUGCUAUCAAUUACAUUGAUAGUAAAUUUGAGGACUACCUAAAUGCAGAAUCGCGAGUGAACAGAUGUCAGAUGCCUUGUAACAGGGUGCAGUGUUGUUUAUACUUCAUUGCUCCUUCAGGACAUGGACCAUUACAUAACUGAAGACUCCCACCUUCAGGCAGGAUUGGGUAGUACAUGUUUGUAACUACCUGGCAUUGCCUUUUGUUGAGCCACACAGCUGACGCUGUAGAGAUUCACUGACAUCCAGUCUGAUGGACACUGUUUCUCCAGCCGAAACUGCUCAUGAGAACAGUGAGUAUUCCCUGAGUUCUCACAUGAUCAAUAGUGUUUGUUUGAAGACUGGAUACAAAAGAUGGUUUGACUGGACAUAAAAUUCAUGGGCCAUCCUUUCUUCCUGGAGGAUCCCAUAAGUAAGGAUUACUCCACUAUCUGAAGAAUUUGGAGAAAUUUGAAGCCACCCUGAUCUUUUCCCUCAGUAAGAGAUGACAUGUUUGUUUACCCAUUGGGAGGUUCUUGCUUCAUCUUCAGAGUUUAAUAAUUCCUGUAGGAUAUGGCACACUCAUAACCUGUUCUCAGUCAACCUUCCCCAGCAUAAAAUUUGUCCUCUCACAAUGUACACUUCCAUCUAUUUUUACCUGAGCAGAAUUUUCCUGAACAUUAUCUUUAAAUAUUUGUUCUGUCCUUUUGUUUUGUUUUCCUGUUUGAAGAUUCCAAUGAUAAAUAUGCUGGAACCCCUCUCCCUGUUCUCUUCAGCUGUAAUUUUCUUUCUAGUUCCUUUUAAACUCAUGAUUACGGUUUCAUUCUUAUUAAUUCUCUCAUUCGUAUUUUUCCAUCACCUUUUUUGUGUUUCCCAAAACAUCUGUCUUCUCCUGGGCCCUUCCAAUCGCACCUUCACCUCUGUGGUGGUUCUCCUGGCUGCUGCCAUCCUUUUUUCUGCCAACUUGACUUUGUCUCCUGCUGUCUCACUUGGUUGUACAGGUUGAGCAUCCCUAAUUCCAAAAUCCAGAAUCCUCCAAACUCCGGAACUUUUUGAGCAUGGACAUGAUGCCACAAGUGGAAAAUUCCAUACUUGACCUCAUGUGACGGGUUGAACAAAAUUAUUAAAAAUACUGUAUAAAAUUACCUUCAGGUUAUAUGUAUAAGGUGUAUGUGAAACAUACAUGAAUUUCGUGUUUAAGCUUGUAUCCCAAGUUAUCUCAUUAUGUAUACGUAAAUAUUCCAAAAUCUGAAAAAAUCCAAAAUCUAAAACACUUCCAGUUCUAAGCAUUUGGGAUAAGGGAUACUCAACCUCAUUAAAAUCUCUUUUCUGUUUUGUGGCAUUCCUGCACUGGGAUCUUCUGCCACAGAACUGCUUCAUGAGUUUCCUGUUUUUUUCAUUUAUGAUGAACUGUCUGGUCAUGAUUCCAUCCUGCUUCACAGACACAUUUCCCACAAUUUCCUUAGAGAAUAUCCAUGCAGUGAUGGUCACCUUCUCUAACAGGCAUUUCAGAGUGAGGUGGGACUUCCUAGGGCACCUGUUUUGCAGAUGCCCUCAGGGUGGGGGAAGGGCAGCUUCCAGCCUUCCCAGUUCCAGCACUCUCUCCCCCAGCCGCUACCUGCAUGUGAAUCCCUGGGAGACCCCACAGCCCAUGUCUCUGAGUAAAACUGGAUCCAGGAAGCCCUUUGCUGUCAGUGGUCCUCCCUGGAACUUCUGCACUCUGCAAGCUGGAGUUGAACAUCUGCGACUCAGCCUCUCAGUGCACAGGGUAUGUGGGGCUCGACUUCUAGACCUGGCCCUGACGAGUGCUUUUGUUAGCCUGAGCCCUUCUGCUCAGUUCCGCCUAUACUAUCGCUGCCCAGGCUUAGCUGCUUUUGGUAAGCCUCAUGCACAUUUUAGAGUGUGUGAAUUGCAUCUGCCUCUUAUUUCUCUGAAAAUGGAGUUUUUCAUCCCUUCCUUCCAAUUCUCCUUCCAGCCUUUCUUGAUUUCCAGAAUGAGAAAUCACUAAGUCAUAUACUGAGCCACAAAUAACAUUAUAAAUGUGACAAUUACAUGAUAAUCUUUGGGGGGAAAACAUUCUGUGAUUUCUAACAUAUUUACAUAAAAAUAUCUUACACUAAAACACACCAGUUGAGGGCACUGGCCAGAGAUAAGAUUAGGUUAGGCCAAGCAAAGCUGAGAAGACCAUUGUUAAAAUUUCAAUCCUGUUCCUUUAUCUUUUCAAAUUAACUGAAUAUUGUUAUUAAAUUUCUUGUUUUAGUGUUGAAUAGCACCCCUUUUCCCUGCUUCACUUUAGAAUCAAUUUAGAGACAAAGGAUUCAGGCCAACUGAGGUUAUCAGCAUUAUCGCUAAUAAUAGCUGGACUGGCAGAUGCGAUUCAGAUUCACACAACAAUGGAUUUCCUAAUCUGAAUCCUAGACUGAGAUGAAGCCAGCCAGCCGUAAGCAUUGCUUAAUAACCAAAGCCUCCCCAGAUAGGCUUCUUGCCCUACAGCACUGAAGACAUGAAAGAAACAGACCAAAAUGUACAAAUAUCUUUUAUUCCUCAAAGGAAAAAGAAGAGUUACACAUGCCUGUUUCUCACCAAUAAGAGGGGUCAGGGCAGAGUGAGUCUGGGAGAGAGAGUUCUACCACCACGGUUCCCAAAGCAUCGUCUAGGGGCCUGUUAGGGGAGCCCGAGGUCUAAACUAUUUCCACAGUUUCACUAAGAUAUGAUUUUCCUUUUCCAUCCUCACAUUUGUUAGUGUGCAGUGAAGUGCUCCAGAGGCCCCAGCAUGCUACAUUACAGAAGACUGAACUCAGGAGAGAUGAGGAAUAAUCCCCUCCAUCACACCAGACACCAGGAGGGUGUGCCAAGGUGUGAGACAUACAGUCCAACAUGCUACACUAUGGAAGACUGAACUCAGGAGCAGAGAUGAGGAAUAAUCCCCUCCAUCACACCAGACACCAGGAGGGUGUGCCAAGGUGUGAGACAUACAGUCCAACAUGCUACACUAUGGAAGACUGAACUCAGGAGCAGAGAUGAGGAAUAAUCCCCUCCAUCACACCAGACACCAGGAGGGUGUGCCAAGGUGUGAGACAUACAGUCCUUACUCUUUUUUUGUUUUGUUUUGUUUUGUUUUGUUUUGUUUUGUUUUGUGAGAUGGAGUUUCACUUUUGUCCCCCAGGCUGGAGUGCAAUGGCCCGAUCUCGGCUCACUGCAACCUCUGCUUCCUGGGUUCAAGCGAUUCUCCAGCCUCAGCUUCCCGAGCAGCUGGCAUUACAGGUGCAUGCCACCAUGCCCGGCUAAUUUUCUGUAUGCCUGGCUAAGUUCUGUAUUUUUAGUAGAGACAGGUUUCACCAUGUUGGCCAGGCUGGUCUCAAACUCCUGAUCUCAGGUGAUCCGCCCACCUCGGCCUCCCAAAGUGCUGGGAUUAUAGGCGUGAGCCACUGCACCCAGCCCAGUCCUUACUUUUAAAUAAAUGGAGAAAUAUUUUAAAAA